rnacentral:rRNA from 1 species
UGUAUGUAUUAUAUGAAUAAGGAUCGGCUAACUCCGUGCCAGCAGCCGCGGUAAUACGGAGGAUCCGAGCGUUAUCCGGAUUUAUUGGGUUUAAAGGGAGCGUAGGUGGACUGGUAAGUCAGUUGUGAAAGUUUGCGGCUCAACCGUAAAAUUGCAGUUGAUACUGUCAGUCUUGAGUACAGUAGAGGUGGGCGGAAUUCGUGGUGUAGCGGUGAAAUGCUUAGAUAUCACGAAGAACUCCGAUUGCGAAGGCAGCUCACUGGACUGCAACUGACACUGAUGCUCGAAAGUGUGGGUAUCAAACAGGAUUAGAUACCCUGGUAGUCCACACAGUAAACGAUGAAUACUCGCUGUUUGCGAUAUACAGUAAGCGGCCAAGCGAAAGCAUUAAGUAUUCCACCUGGGGAGUACGCCGGCAACGGUGAAACUCAAAGGAAUUGACGGGGGCCCGCACAAGCGGAGGAACAUGUGGUUUAAUUCGAUGAUACGCGAGGAACCUUACCCGGGCUUAAAUUGCAGUGGAAUGAUGUGGAAACAUGUCAGUGAGCAAUCACCGCUGUGAAGGUGCUGCAUGGUUGUCGUCAGCUCGUGCCGUGAGGUGUCGGCUUAAGUGCCAUAACGAGCGCAACCCUUAUCUUUAGUUACUAACAGGUUAUGCUGAGGACUCUAGAGAGACUGCCGUCGUAAGAUGUGAGGAAGGUGGGGAUGACGUCAAAUCAGCACGGCCCUUACGUCCGGGGCUACACACGUGUUACAAUGGGGGGUACAGAAGGCAGCUAGCGGGUGACCGUAUGCUAAUCCCAAAAUCCUCUCUCAGUUCGGAUCGAAGUCUGCAACCCGACUUCGUGAAGCUGGAUUCGCUAGUAAUCGCGCAUCAGCCACGGCGCGGUGAAUACGUUCCCGGGCCUUGUACACACCGCCCGUCAAGCCAUG